rnacentral:rRNA from 1 species
UACGGAGGGGGCUAGCGUUGUUCGGAAUUACUGGGCGUAAAGCGCACGUAGGCGGAUUGAAAAGUUGGAGGUGAAAUCCCAGGGCUCAACCUUGGAACUGCCUUCAAAACUAUCAGUCUAGAGUUCGAGAGAGGUGAGUGGAAUUCCGAGUGUAGAGGUGAAAUUCGUAGAUAUUCGGAGGAACACCAGUGGCGAAGGCGGCUCACUGGCUCGAUACUGACGCUGAGGUGCGAAAGCGUGGGGAGCAAACAGG